rnacentral:rRNA from 1 species
GACGUAGGGCGCGAGCGUUGUCCGGAUUUAUUGGGCGUAAAGAGCUCGUAGGCGGCUUGUUGCGUCGACCGUGAAAACCCGGGGCUCAACUUCGGGCUUGCGGUCGAUACGGGCGGGCUAGAGUUCGGUAGGGGAGACUGGAAUUCCUGGUGUAGCGGUGAAAUGCGCAGAUAUCAGGAGGAACACCGGUGGCGAAGGCGGGUCUCUGGGCCGAUACUGACGCUGAGGAGCGAAAGCGUGGGGAGCGAACAAG